AUUGAAAAUUUGUCCUCUCAUAUUAUCAUGUUUAAUAUAUGGUGGGAUAUGAAACAUACGU
rnacentral:antisense_RNA from 1 species